GACGAACGCUGGCGGCGUGGAUUAGGCAUGCAAGUCGAACGGUAGGAUACCUUCGGGUAUCUGAGAGUGGCGAACGGGUGAGUAACACGUAGGUGAUCUACCCUCAAGAUUGGGACAACCCAGGGAAACUUGGGCUAAUACCGGAUGAAAGCAGCAGUGAUGUUGUUUGAAAGGUGGCGUAAGCUGCCGUUUGGGGAUGAGCCUGCGCUCUAUUAGUUAGUUGGCGGGGUAAAGGCCCACCAAGGCGAUGAUAGAUAGGCGGCCUUAACGGGUGGUCGCCCACACUGGGAUUGAGAUACGGCCCAGACUCCUACGGGAGGCAGCAGUCGAGAAUAGUCUACAAUGGCCGAAAGGCUGAUAGUGCGACGCCGCGUGAACGAAGAAGCCCUUCGGGGUGUAAAGUUCUUUUAUAUGUGAGCAGUGCUUUCUAUGUGAACAGCAUGGGGAAGAGAUAUUAGCAUAUGAAUAAGCAACGGCUAACCCCGUGCCAGCACGG
rnacentral:rRNA from 1 species